UACGAAGGGGGCUAGCGUUGCUCGGAAUCACUGGGCGUAAAGGGUGCGUAGGCGGGUCUUUAAGUCAGGGGUGAAAUCCUGGAGCUCAACUCCAGAACUGCCUUUGAUACUGAAGAUCUUGAGUUCGGGAGAGGUGAGUGGAACUGCGAGUGUAGAGGUGAAAUUCGUAGAUAUUCGUCAAGAACACCAGUGGCGAAGGCGGCUCACUGGCCCGAUACUGACGCUGAGGCACGAAAGCGUGGGGAGCAACAGG
rnacentral:rRNA from 1 species